UACCGAGUUCUAUAUAACCUUUGUCCUGA
rnacentral:piRNA from 1 species